UUGCUCGCUCCGGCAGCACAUAUACUAAAAUUGGAACGAUACAGAGAUUAGCAUGGCCCCUUCGCAAUGAUGACACACAAAUUUGUGAAGCAUUUCAUAUUUUU